UCCUGGCUUAGGAUGAACGCUGGCGGCGUGCCUAAUACAUGCAAGUCGAACGAGGUAGCAAUACCGAGUGGCGAACGGGUGAGUAACACGUAGGUAACCUGCCCUUAAGCUUGGGAUACCCAGAGGAAACUUUGGCUAAUACCGGAUAACAACAGAGAAGGCAUCUUCUUUGCUUGAAAGGCCCCUUCAAGGGUCACUUAAGGAUGGACCUGCGGCGCAUUAGCUAGUUGGUGAGAUAACAGCCCACCAAGGCGAGGAUGCGUAGCCGACCUGAGAGGGUGACCGGCCACAUUGGGACUGAGACACGGCCCAAACUCCUACGGGAGGCAGCAGUGGGGGAUACUGCACAAUGGGGGAAACCCUGAUUGCAGCGACGCCGCGUGAAGGAUGACGUAUUUCGGUAUGUAAACUUCUAUCAGCGGGGAAGAAGAUGACGGUACCCGACUAAGAAGCCCCGGCUAACUACGUGCCAGCCGCUGC
rnacentral:rRNA from 1 species